UUGAAUCAUUGAUUGUAUGAAAUAUGAAUAUUUUUCAGUAAACACAAGAAGUGUUAGAGUUAAAAUAUUGUUUGUUAACAAGACAGUAAAAGAGUAAAGACAUUAAAAGUACAUACUCAUAGUGAUAAUUGUAUAUUAUUAUUGAAAUAAUAUAAUUUAUCAUUAUGUAUUAUGUAAAAUAAAAACUAUGGACAUCAUUGGAAAUGAAAAUAACACUCGAAAAAAAGGAAAAAACAAAAAAAAGUCUAGUCCCCAAAAAUAUUUAAAGAAAAACCGUUUAGUAACAAGACCAAAAGCAGGCCCGAAUGUGAUUUUUGUUAAAAAGAAAAUGAGUUAUAAGGUUCUGCUUCAGAAAAGCUGUGAUUUGUUAAUUAAAGAAAAUUGUAUAAUAUUACAUGCUAUGGGUUCUGCUAUAAACAGAUGCUGUUUUCUAACUAUGGAUAUAGAAAAAGCUUUUCCUGGAAAAUGCAAAGUAGAAACGAACACAGGAACUGUAGAUCUAGCAGAUAAUCUAGAACCAGUUUCUGAUGAUGUGGACUUUGGUGCACAAGUAAGGAAUUGCUUUAGAAUACACAUGAAAAUCACAAAAGAUACAAUAUCUGAAACAUCACAUUCUUUAAGUUAAAAUAAUAUGUUAUCUUCUCUUGUACCUUGGCUAAGUGUUUCAAGGACAAUAUUAUAAAAUAAAAUCUGAUUCAAAUACAACAAUCAAAUUUAA